AACAAAUGAUAUACGCAACUGAAAUAUGAUGAAGUAAAAUCAUGUAAAUAAUGGUUGGUUAAUCAGCAGUCAUCGGCAGUCACUAACCAUCAUGGGACUUUCACUGAUUUGUUUUAUUCUGUGUUGUUACAAUAUUCAACUCAAAUAAUCAAAACCGAAAGCCGAGAUAAACAAAUAAUUAACCCGAAACCCCAAACCCGACUCAAAGCACUAAUUGCUCAGCACUACCUACAGCAGAGCGCUUUCCCACACCCAGUUAAUUACCACAUGGGCCAUUCUAUCCAAAAUGAUUGGGAUGGUCCUACCCCAUUGAAUUUUACAUUUAAAAUGGUUAGGGUUAGGUUAGGUAAGGGUUAGGGUAGGGAGGUGCCAAGGAACCCGGACAGCAUUGACUCUAUCCACACGCUCAUUGUUGUUACAGAAUUCAACCCAAAUAAUCGAAACCAAUGGUUUUUGUAUUUAUUAUAAUGAACCGAAACCCAACCCUGUCCACACGCCCAGUACUUAACUUUUCAACACACCCUCUUGACCAUAGUCCGGUCUCGGUAUCGAGCUGCAGCUCAAUGCGAACGUGAGUAGAUUACCUUGAAAACAACGGUCGGACAUCUAGGAAGCAGUCUCCAGUUUGUAUUAUACCUCGGUGGUGUACACGGAACAAAUAUCGACCAGAUCUUGAUCGGACGACGACAACAACAACGUGUUAAAGGUGUAACCAAGGCUUCUGAGAACACAGAGAAACAUGGCUCCAUUCUUCAUCUGUUCCGUCUGUACCGAAGUCUUCGUUGGACACAUAUCGCUGAGCUGCCAGCACACCUUCUGUGGACGAUGCCUCCAGAAGUGUAUGGACGCGGGUUGCGUUGUCUGUCCGGUGUGCGGGGAGCCAAUCACGUCGGAGAACGUCAGAGUCAACAGAAUACUAAGGGACAUGGCAGACGAAGUGAGACGGAGAAGAGUUGAUCUCAGAGUGUUGAAGAGGAAUGAGGACCUUGAUGUGAAUAACUGGGAAACCUACAAGAAGAAGAAGGUCAAAACAUCAAAGUCUUUUUUGAAGGAAGGCCUGGCUGCCAGAAAGACAGAGAGGAAGUUAAAGUCGUCUCUGACCACUGGUCCCUGGGAGGGUUUCCUUUUUGGCAUUAUGGCCUUUUACUGCUUCAUUUCUGGUCUUACUUAUGUUGUCCUUCCUUGUGUGGAAUAUGUGUCUGUAACAAUGCCAGGAAAUGCAGCCAAGGUGUUUGGAUACCCUUUGGUGUUCAUGAAUAUGUUUGUUGUCUUCGGUGUUGUUGCUCAUUUGGUGGAUUUUGUGUUGAAAAAGUUUGACUUAAAAUCUGUUUUAUAUAGUAAUAACUGAUUUGAUUGCUUUUAUGCAGAGAGUCAUUGGAUGUAGCGAACUUCCUUUCCCAGCAGUUUGGUUUAGUUGAACAACUUUUUGAAAUGAAUUAUCUUAUUGAGUUGACUUACAUCUGCAGGUUUAUCCCCCAGUUUAAUAC